UACGUAGGGGGCAAGCGUUGUCCGGAUUUAUUGGGCGUAAAGAGCGUGUAGGCGGCCAUGUAGGUCCGUUGUGAAAACUCGAGGCUCAACCUCGAGACGCCGAUGGAAACCAUGUGGCUAGAGUCCGGAAGAGGAGAGUGGAAUUCCGUGGUGUAGCGGUGAAAUGCGCAGAUAUCAGGAAGAACACCCGUGGCUAAGGCGGCUCUCUAGUACGGUACUGACGCUGAGACGCGAAAGCGUGGGAGCGAACAGG
rnacentral:rRNA from 1 species